UACGUAGGGCGCAAGCGUUGUCCGGAAUUAUUGGGCGUAAAGAGCUCGUAGGCGGUUUGUCGCGUCUGCUGUGAAAACCUGAGGCUCAACCUCGGGCUUGCAGUGGGUACGGGCAGACUAGAGUGCGGUAGGGGUGACUGGAAUUCCUGGUGUAGCGGUGGAAUGCGCAGAUAUCAGGAGGAACACCGAUGGCGAAGGCAGGUCACUGGGCCGCAACUGACGCUGGAGGGAGCGAAAGCAUGGGGAGCGAACAGG
rnacentral:rRNA from 1 species